AGUGUAAAAGUGAAGGCUAAAUUAUAAUAUAUACAUGAGGAGCUUAAGAGGCUGUGGGACACAUAGUCAAUAAAAGACAGUUAUUUUUAUUAUUGCUAACAUUAUUUCAGCAAACAUUGAUUGAAGACCUACUGUAUACAAGAUGGGAGGUUACUUAGCAUGAGGAAUUCAGCAAGUAUUUAUUGAACAACUACUAUAUGAUGAGAAAAGUGAGUCUCAGAGAGGCUGCCACUUGCCUGAAGUCAUUCAGCCAGGGAGUAACUUGUUUGCCACUGGAAAUAAGUCAUCUGACUCCAGAGCCCUCCUGUAUGACCUUCUGGUAUUUACUUUCUCAUUCUAGUCAGGCAUUCCUGAGAUCCUGAUAAGGAAUACAGAACUAAUAAGCCACCACCAACCGGAAGAGUUCGGGAAAGGUCUAAAGGAGACACCACGUGUCCGUCCACUUCCCAGAAUCCCUCUCGCUGGCAUCCAUCUUGGCUGAGUGAUGCAUGCACCACCAGGAAAGACUCUGAAUUAGAAUGAUUGGUCAAAGACCACCCAGAAACUAAUCCCAUCACCCUAAAACCCGACAUUGUGAGCCACGCGGCAGAGC
ensembl:lncRNA